rnacentral:rRNA from 1 species
GUAGGCGGUAUGUAAAGCGAACAGUGAAAUCUCAAAGCUCAACUUUGAGGCUACUGUUUGAACUUACAUACUAGAGCAUGAUAGGGGAAACUGGAAUUCCUAGUGUAGGAGUGAAAUCCGUAGAUAUUAGGAGGAACACCAAUGGCGAAGGCAGGUUUCUGGAUCAUUGCUGACGCUCAGGCUCGAAAGUGUGGGUAGCGAACAGGAUUAGAUACCCUGGUAGUCCACACCGUAAACGAUGGAUACUAGCUAGUUGGGGGUAUCGACCCCCUCAGCAGCGAAGCUAACGCGUUAAGUAUCCCGCCUGGGGAGUACGGUCGCAAGAUUAAAACUCAAAGGAAUAGACGGGGACCCGCACAAGCGGUGGAGCGUGUUCUUUAAUUGGAUGAUAAGCCAAGAACCUUACCCAGACUUGACAUCCCGAGAAGGACUGCGAAAGCAGACUGUGCUUUAUUGAACUCGGUGACAGGUGCUGCAUGGCCGUCGUCAGCUCGUGUCGUGAGAUGUUUGGUUAAGUCCAUCAACGAGCGCAACCCCUAUGAUUAGUUGGAUUUUUCUAAUCAGACUGCCUCGGUAACGGGGAGGAAGGAGGGGACGACGUCAGGUCAUUAUUGCCCUUAUGUCUGGGGCGAGAAACGCGCUACAAUGGCCGGUACAAAGGGGAGCGAAGUCGCGAGACGGAGCAAAUCUCAUCAGAGCCGGUCUCAGUUCGGAUUGGAGGCUGAAACCCGCCUCCAUGAAGUCGGAAUCGCUAGUAACCGUGGGUCAGAAUAUCGCGGUGAAUACGUUCCCGGGUCUUGUACUCACCGCCCGUCAUACCGUGGAAGUCGCCAACACCCGAAAGCUGAUCAUUAAGAUCGGUCUAAGGUGGGGGAGAUGACUGGGGUA